GGCGCUUGAGGAGGUGAAGCGCAGCUGCCCUCGCGGCCGCUUCUCGCGGUUGAGGCCGCUCUGUGUCGACGCCGCGUGCAGACCGUCUCCGGCACCUGGGCGGAGCGCCGCGCUCGGGAAGGUUGCCCAGGGUGGAAGGCAAUCCUUGACAGAAUGCUGUUUAACGCAGGAGUAACUGAACUAAGUAUGUCUGAAGUUGCCUCAGCUGCCAGAAUAGUAAAACUGAAACACGGCGAGUUAGAUAUGGUCAUCUGCAGCUUGAUCAUUGAAGUUGGAAUAGGGGGUGAUUUGCCAUCAUGUUCAGCAGCAGACCAGCUCCAGCUCAGAGUGAAUCACUGGGAGGCUGAGAAGAGCCCCAGGAGCUCCUGACUCAUCACAGCCCCAUGUUGCUGUGAUGGUUGUAUCCCAGCUCAAAACUCUCAUUGAUCAUUGAAAUUACAAAAGCUGUCAUAUGCGAGGAGCACAAAAACACUCACCCUUGCGGAUUCUAAGUUGGAAGUUUGCAUUAUGAGAGCUUUGGUGUUUGCUCCUUGGUGGACAUGAACACAUGCCUGUGACUAACAUGUUGCAGAGACUGUGGAGCAAUUGUGCUAGUGCUGCUAAUGUUGACACAGCUAUGGAAGCAACACUACCAUAAAGAAGCCAGCAUCAUUAAAGUGGCUCCUAUCAGCAGCACGUAAGUGCUUUGAACUUUGUGAUCAUUUUCUGAGUGGAUACAUCAAAUGGGUCAGUCGCUUUGAGUCUGGCCAUCUCCAAGUUUCACGUGAAAGCUGCCUGGUGUGGGGACGUACAAAGAGGAAAGCUCAGAAGUUUGCUGUGUCCUGAGGAGCA